AUUGAACGCUGGCGGAAUGCUUUACACAUGCAAGUCGAACGGCAGCACGGGGCAACCUGGUGGCGAGCGGCGAACGGGUGAGUAAUACAUCGGAACGUGCCCAAUCGUGGGGGAUAACGUAGCGAAAGUUACGCUAAUACCGCAUACGAUCUACGGAUGAAAGCGGGGGAUCGCAAGACCUCGCGCGAAUGGAGCGGCCGAUGUCAGAUUAGGUAGCUGGUGGGGUAAAGGCUCACCAAGCCGACGAUCUGUAGCUGGUCUGAGAGGACGACCAGCGACACUGGGACUGAGACACGGCCCAGACUCCUACGGGAGGCAGCAGUGGGGAAUGUUGGACAAUGGGCGCAAGCCUGAUCCAGCCAUUCCGCGUGCAGGAUGAAGGCCUUCGGGUUGUAAACUGCUUUUGUACGGAACGAAACGGCGAGCUCUAAUACAGUUUGCUAAUGACGGUACCGUAAGAAUAAGCACCGGCUAACUACGUGCCAGCCGCCGCCGUAACAC
rnacentral:rRNA from 1 species